GAUGAACGCUAGCGGCAGGCCUAAUACAUGCAAGUCGAACGGUGUCUUCGGACAUAGUGGCGCACGGGUGCGUAACACGUAUGCAACCUACCUUACAUUGGGGGAUAGCCUUUCGAAAGGGAGAUUAAUACCGCAUAAGACAGUAGCUGGGCAUCCAGCAGCUGUUAAAGAUUUAUCGAUGUAAGCUGGGCAUGCGUCCAAUUAGCUAGUGGGUGAGGUAACGGCUCACCAAGGCAAUGAUUGGUAGGGGAACUGAGAGGUCAAUCCCCCACACUGGCACUGAGAUACGGGCCAGACUCCUAUGGGAGGCAGCAGUAGGGAAUAUUGGGCAAUGGACGCAAGUCUGACCCAGCCAUGCCGCGUGCAGGAUGAAGGCGUUAUGCGUUGUAAACUGCUUUUAUACAGGAAGAAACGACUCUUGCGAGAGGCAUUGACGGUACUGUAUGAAUAAGCACCGGCUAACUCCGUGCCAGCCGCCGCAGUAAAAC
rnacentral:rRNA from 1 species